rnacentral:rRNA from 1 species
AGUCUGGUCUGCUCACUGAUUUUUAAAGAGCCGCGGUAUUUUGACCGUGCGAAGGUAGCAUAAUAAUUAGUUUUUUUAUUGAAAACUGGAAUGAACGAUUGGACGAGGGAUGGACUGUCUCUUUUUAAUUUUGUUGAAUUUUACUUUUGAGUUAAAAGGCUUAAAUUUUUUUAAAAGACGAGAAGACCCUAUAGAGUUUUAAUAUUUUAUUUUUUUUUUAUUUUUUGGUAUUUUUAUAUUUUAAAGGGUAAAGUAUUUUUGUUGGGGUGACAGAAAAAUUUAAUUAACUUUUUCUUUAUUUGAACACUAAUUUGUGAAUUGUUGAACCAAUAUUUUUGAUUUUAAGAUAAAUUACCUUAGGGAUAACAGCGUAAUUUUUUUUGAGAGUUCUUAUCGAAAAAAAAUUUGCGACCUCGAUGUUGGAUUAAAAUUUAAUUUUGGUGUAGAAGCUGAAUAUUGAGUCGUCGAC